rnacentral:rRNA from 1 species
GACGAACGCUGGCGGCGUGCUUAACACAUGCAAGUCGAACGGAAAGGCCCUGCUUUUUUGGGGUGCUCGAGUGGCGAACGGGUGCGUAACACGUGAGUAACCUGCCCUUGACUUUGGGAUAACUUCAGGAAACUAGGGCUAAUACCGGAUAGGAUCUGCUGCUGCAUGGUGGGGGUUGGAAAGUUUCGGCGGUUGGGGAUGGACUCGCGGCUUAUCAGCUUGUUGGUGGGGUAGUGGCUUACCAAGCGUUUGACGGGUAGCCGGCCGGAGAGGGUGACCGGCGACAUUGGGACUGCGAUACGGACCAGACUGCUAUGGGAGGCAGCAGUGGGGAAUAUUGCCCAAUGGGCGGAAGCCUGAGGCAGCAACGCCGCGUGCGGGAUGACGGCCUUCGGGUUGUAAACCGCUUUCGCCUGUGACGAAGCGUGAGUGACGGUAAUGGGUAAAGAAGCACCGGCUAACUACGUG